UACGUAGGUGGCAAGCGUUGUCCGGAUUUACUGGGCGUAAAGCGCGUGUAGGCGGGUUGUUAAGUCCGCUGUGAAAGCCCGGUGCUCAACGCCGGAGGGUCGGUGGAUACUGGCAGUCUUGAAGUGGCUAGGGGGAAAUGGAAUUCCCGGUGUAGCGGUGAAAUGCGCAGAUAUCAGGAGGAACACCGAUGGCGAAGGCAGGUCUCUGGGCAUUAACUGACGCUGAGGAGCGAAAGCAUGGGGAGCGAACAGG
rnacentral:rRNA from 1 species